CCGUGCAUGCCUUCCACGAGAUUGUAGUUUAAGUAACAGUCCUUUCGUAUUUAUUUUAUCUUGGCCUGUUCAAUAUACUACUGCUGACAUAUGCAAUGACACCCCCCACCACUAAGGGGCAACAGUGCGCAAUGAGUGCGCGGGUUGUUUUGAUACGUGUGUGCCGGUGUGUGCACAGACGUGCUGCAGUCGAGACAGAUCUACAGACAGAACCGCCAGAAAUGCAAUGGAGUACGAAGGAGAAAUCCAGGAUCCAUCCCCAACUUUUAAAUCUCCAGUGUGGCAACACUUUGGUUUUCCGGUGGAAGAAAAAGAUGAUGAUCCCGUUUCUCAUGAAGAAUUGGGCUUUAAUGCAAGCCACACGUGCAUACUGCUGACCUGUUUGGUAGAGGGCAGGGGCAGGACGACGGCCGUACACUGAAGAGGACAACACCGGCACAACUCUGGACUUCUCCUGGGAGGGAGGAGGACAACAAGGCAGGGAGAAAUGGGAAUAAGUACUGAAGCUGUGCUCGUUGUGCCACUCAUAUUGCUUAUCUUUAUCAUACAGGCUUUCACAAAUGAAGGAGUCUGGACUAAUGAAAGAGGGCUUGGGGAAAAUACAGUGCUUUGAAAAAGUAUAUGCAGAAAUCACACUUAAAUGUUCCAGGUCAUCAAACUAAUGUUUAGAUUUAUUUGAUAUUAGACAGAGAUAACCACAAAACACAAAACUUUUAAGGUCUUGAGCUGAUGGUGGAUAUUCUGAGAGAGAACAGAAUUCAUGGCUCCAUCAAUUAUGACAAGUCGUCCAGGUCCGGUGGAAGCAAAAGCAGCCCCAAACCAUCACACUACCACAGAUGUACCUAAUGAAGUGGUCAAUGAGUGUAUCUAAUAAGUGAAAAUAAUAUUGAUGUUCAAAGAUGGAGUUGCGCUUACUUAUGUUAAUUACAUUAACUAUCGCUUUGUAAGCUCGCUGCUUAAUGCUGUGAUAUCAGCUUAUUCAACUAUUGCAUAUCUCCUUUCAUUUACCACUGAUAAAGUCCCUCUCUGGUCGGUGAUUUAACAAAUAAAAAGUUAUCUAUGUGUAUCAAGGUUAGAUAUUUAAGUGUUUUUCCAAGAAAACAAUCUGUUUCUGCCUUAAACAUGAUUAAAAAAACUUAUGUGAGGGAGUCUUUAAGACAUAAAUAAUACAAUCAAAAUUGUGUUUCUCGUGGUAGUUAAAAAAAGAAUUAUGUAAAAAACCUCUUAGAUUUUCAAUACCAUGUGAGCACAAAUGCCUUCAAGCAUUGAGUUGCUGGUUCAGUUCCUGGCAGGCCAGCACCUUUACUAUGUGUCAUCUCCAACUCUAUAUGCCACAUUUCCUACCACUCUCCACUGUAUUUACUUAUUCAAAAUGAAAAUGUCCCAAAAAAAAGUUAAGGCACUUUUACUUCUGCCUAUGUGCAUCUGAACAAUGCUCUCUAUAUCUUAAGUCAUGCUUAGAAAGCUGUGGAUAUCAUUCCCUAUGGGAACGUACCUAAUAUGAAGUUAUCAGUUGAUUUAACUGUACUGAAAGGCAGCUGUUUGCCCAGUGAAUACAUAUGAGCUUUGAGAAAGUGGUUUGAGAGCUUCAGCUGUUAUAUUUGAUGACUGUACUAAACCUGUCCCUGUUCCGAUGCAUUACUCUACCAGCUAAAGCAAAGGUACUUGCACCUAAUGAAAACAUCCUAGUGCUCCCUCUCUGAUUCAUUUUACUACUUCCUCGUGGCUCUAUAUAAAAGAAAAUAAUAAAGCCACAAGAGAAAAUGGUCCCCAAAAAAUAAACUGUUAGCAGAGCCAUAGUGUUAUAUUUGGGGGGAAAAACGGUAAAAUGCAGUGCCUAUAAAACUCUCACUGGAAGUUUUCCCCUUUUGUUGCUUUUCAAUACUGAAUCAUGGUCAUUUUAAUUUGACUUUUUUGACAAAAAUACAACACAAAAGAGUCUUUAACGUCAAAGUAAAAACUGAUUUCUACAGAGUAAUUUUAUUUAAUUAAAAAUAUAAAACAUGAAAUAAGUGGCUGCAUAAGUUUUUACCCCCAUCAAGUUAGUCUUUAGUAGAUAUACAGGACUUGGCAGGAAUUACAGCACUGAGCCUCUGUCGAAAGUUUUCAGUCAGCCUUGCACAUCUGGACACUGCAGUUUUACACAAUUCUUCUUCCAAAGCUGCUCAACUUCUGUCAGGUUGUAUGAGGAUCAUGAGUUCCCCAACUCUUUUUUUCAAGUUCAGCCACAAUUUCUCCAUCUCGGAUUGAGGUCUGGGCUCUGACUUGGCCAAUACAGAGCAUUCACCUUGUUGUCUUUAACCCAUUCCUGUGUAGCUUUGGCUGUAUGCUUUGGUUCACUGUCAUUUUUCAAACAAAUCUUCCCCCAAGUCACAGUUCUCUUGCACACCGCAUCGGGUUGUCUUCCAGAAUUUCCUUAUACUUGGCUGCAUUCAUUUUACCCUCUACCUUUACAAGCCUUAAAAGGCUGCUGUCAAGAAGUAUCUCUGCGUCAUGAUGCCGCCACCACCAUGCUUCAUUGUGGGGCCUUUAAACUUUACUCGAGAUUGAAUAGAAUGUGUUUGUCAAAAAAGCCAAAGUAAAUUGACCAUGACUCAAAGUUAAAAAGCAAUAAAAGGGGAAAACUCCCAACGGGCGUGAGCACUUUUUAUAGGCUUUGUAUAUGUUGCUUAUUAUUAUCCAGCUCAGCAGUGUGUCUCUGUGAGCUUUUUACAGCCACACUGGGAACCUCUGACUUCAGGAAGGUCAAGCUAACUACUGUAUCUGUAGAACACGCACCACCUGCUUUUGGCUCUGUGAGAUUCACCGCAGUGUUUAUAUUUUCAUGAGCUUCAGUUGAAACAGUAACAAAAAAACCAACACUGCCAUUAUGCUCUGAAUAGUUCAAUAAAUAGUUGGGUUUUUUUUUUAAUUCAUCUUCAAAUGUGAAUUCUGGAACAGGAACAUCCCAAUUCAGCAGGAGCUGUCACCAACCCUGACAGCCAACCACUCAGCUCACUGUAAUUACAAGCUCAGCAGUGUGUUGCUGCUUUGUUCUCCACCCUCUCUGCUUUCUGUGACCCAGAAACUCACUGUGAGCUAGUUUUCUUGACAUGAAUAAUUACUCUACGGAGAUGGAACGACUUCAAAAGGAGCCAUAAACAAAUGUCAUAAAACUCAGAGAUGUAUGUCAGCCACCACAAGGUACAAAAUGUUAACGGUAAUGAUAUAAAUAUGGAACAUUUUUAAAUAUAUGCUCUUUUCAAAGUCAUUUUCAUAAUAUACUGACAUUUCCAUCUAUGAAACACUCCAAAAGCCACAUUUCCCGUGUCAUCUAAAGCUUGAAAACACGAGCAAGAAUUCACAGGAUGCUGAAGGUGCUCAGGGAACAGCGGUGAUGGUGAUUUGUUAGCGGAGAAUAGUGAUAGUGCCUGUAAUGUACUGAUCUGUGUUCUGUGUGCCAAGCGUGUAGGUGGUCAGUGCUACAAGGCAACAUUCACUGACGUCACUACUGGAGAAGAAGAAACGAACAAGCGUAUUAGUUGAACAUUCCUUACAGUUCCCCUCUGCAUUACACCUUAUUGUGUAUGUUUGUCUGUGCCUGCCUCAAGGUUCAUGCAUGCAAACCAACCUUUACAUGCAUGAAGGCUAAAGAAUGUAAGCGUGAUCACAUAAUGUAAUCACAUUUCUAAGAUUGGACCAUUGUGGAACAUAAUUUUCAACAUGUUACCUCCAGUGGGAACCAUAGUAUCAAAAACAUUCCUGAUAGCAUACCUGAUGCAGUGCCAGAUCAGAUCAAAAGGAAGGAAUGAUUCUAAUCAAAGGUAUGUGCUUUUUCAUGUCUGCAUCCAUGAAUUUUAAUGUCUGGAGUUUCGGUGGCAAUGAGAAGUUUCAUCUCUUUCAUAGUUUAACUGUAGGAAAUGUAGUAGUUCAACAGUUCUAAGGGUUCGUGGUUUGUUCAUUUUAUGGACAUGCUGUAUAUCCAAGCCUGACAGGCUUUAUUAGAAGCUACAGUGACUUACACUGCAGGCCUUUUAACAUUUAAUCAGUACUGCUGACUAAUAGCAAUUUCAUUUUCACUAGUUGUAAUAAUAUUUUGACAUGUCAAAAUGUUAUUACGACAAAUUGUUCAAAUGGUUAUUUAGGAUAGGUGCAAAACUAGUUUCACUUGUUACAAUAUAUAUUUUUACACGAACAAACUACAACUCACCUGGUCGAAACUGAUUUAAAGAUAUUCUUUAUUUAAUUAUAGCUGUUAGUAAUUGACAUGACUAUGACAGAGAUCUACAAUUGAAUUGCCACGUACUGAAAAAGGACUGUGACUCAAGGAAGAGUAAUUUUUUACUUCAGAAAUCAAUAAUAACAUUUAAAACAGUAAAACAUUUAGUUGCUGUAAUAUAUAUAUAUUGCAAUGAUACAUACAUUUAUUUCAAAUAUGUAUCAUUGCAGAUUCUACAAUUCCAUUUUGUCCACAGGGAAUUCCAUUUUUACCACCUAAAAUUCAAUUCUAACUAAUAAGAAAAGUAGACAUCUGAAAUAUAAUGUUCAGUAGUUCACAAUUUUAUUUCAGGUAUAUGAAAUUACAUUGUUGUAGGUUACAAUUUAAAGCUGACAUUUCAAUAAUUUAAUUGACAAGUCAGAACUGCAUUUCAGACAACUAUAAUUUCAUAUAUAUCUGUUAGUUUAGAACAAUAGUAGAUAUUUAAAAUUAACAUUGCCAUGAGUGAGAAUUGAAUUGUUGAUAUAAACAAUUAAUGUUUUGACAUGUGAAAAUUAAGUUGUAAAUAAUAAAAUAAAAUUACAUUAUGGAUGUGUCUACAACUGACAUUUCCACUAGUAAGAAAUGAAUAGUUGAUAUCAACAUUUGGACUAGUCAGAAAUGAAUUGUGUUUAUCAUUAAUUAGAAACACAGUUUGUCAAAAUUACAUCAUGGACAUGUUGGUUUGGAAUUUUAUCUUGCUGAAAGGAGUUGGCGACACCUAGAACUGGUAUUACUGCCACAGACUAAACAAAUAUUAAAGGGAUUGCCAUAAUAGUCAACAGGGGAUAAAGUAAAGUCAAAGACAAACUUUGGAUUCCUAAAGGAUCUACUUUUAUAAAAAACUCACCACUGACCUUUUUCAGCAAAAUGAAACAGGUACUAAAAUAUUCACUAAAAUGUGUUCAUUACCUCCUCAUUUAUGUCAAGUCCUCUUCCUCUAUAGUGCCUCCUGUCAUCCCGGUGCAGUUUCAUAUCAUAACCCUCAGCCUGGUGGAACACCUGGUCAUAGGUGGAGACAUCUGGGACCUACCGGAAGACAGACAGAGGUUAGCAUUCAAAGCCUGUCCUCUCUCAGAAGAGGAUCCUUCAUAAGCCACUCUGGGUGGAACCAAAGGAAACGGCAGUGGUGGAAGAAGUAUCUAGAUCAUACUGGGAAAACCAAAGAACUGGUGGUGGACUGCAAACACCCUCAGCCGACAGCAGUGAACAUCUAGGAAAUGGACACUGACAUGGUGAAAUCCUUCAACAACAAACUGGACUGGUCUGACAAUAGCAACGCACUCUCUCAACGCACAGCAAAAGACAGAGCAGACUCUGCUGUCUUCUGGAGUGCAGGGAACGAUCCCAAGGUCAUUUUCUUUACUUUGCGGUGACACCAGUCAUCUUCUAUGCUGUGGUAUGCUGGGGCAGCAGCAUUUCUACAGCAGACAAGAGGAGACUUAAUCAGAAUCAGCAUCAGAAAUACAUGAUUACCGAGGGGAAAUUGCUUAAAUUGCCUACAUUUAAAUCACUUAACAAGCUUGUAAAGGUCAGUUCUGUCCUGCGAUGCUCGCUGGACCCAGUGGAGGUGGUGGGAGACAGAGGGAAGACUAAGAGGCUAAACUAUCACCCAUGUUGGAGAACAUAUCCCAGCAGCUUGUGCAGGACACUGACAGCACUGAGCAGCUCCUUCAGUGAGCGGCUGCUUUACCUGCGGUGUGUGACAGAGACAAAAAACCCACAGGUCCCUCCUUCCUGCUGCUGUCAGACUUUACUGCGAGCACUUUUCCCAGUCGACUCCAGACUGAAAAGCUUUUUCACACUGCAUUCAAAACUGUGUGUUAUAAAAAUGUCCUGCUUUUAAAAGACUCUGUACAACAUAACUUUUUUCUACCAGAACCUGUGCAAUAUCAGUAUGUUUGUUAUCAGUAUCCUCUACUCUUGGAACAACAUGUGCAAUAUCAGAACAGAAAAGCCCUGUACGAUAUAAUUUUUUCAAUAUUCAGAAGAAUCUGUGCAAUAACGGAAUUUCUAAAUAUGGAAGAGUCUGUAUGAUAUCAACAAUUCUUGUACCUGACCACAGUUUUUCUACUAAUGUUCCAAUAUUUUUGCACUAUCCCCUUUGCUAUUAUUAAGGGCUAAUCUUUUGUUAUCUUAAAAAUACUCAGUUACAAGAAAAAGUUAAACACUCUAAACCUUACUUCAGCAAAAGUAUGCAUUAUCAAUGAAAUGUACUUAAAGUAUGAAAGUAAAAGUACACAUUGCACACACAGCUGGACCAUGGCUGAGUAUUUCCACCUUGAAACUUCAGUGUACUAAUGAAAGUCUCAAAAACAUUGAUUCAGACUUAUAGGGUUUCUCACAUUAAAAAAAAAAGUAUGAUACCAA